GGGCGAGCCUGGGCCUGUUUCCGCGUCCGCACGAACCGGCUCAGCAUCCCGGGAAUCCUGCGGUGGGAAGGAGCUGAUCUUUGCGAUCUGACCCCACUCUGAUGGAAUAGAAUACAGGACAUGAUCGCCCGGCCCGAGGAAUGGUCCCAAAGCGGAUAGCCAUCACACCAGGGGUCAUCACACGCAAAGUCCGGCCAAGGUGCCCUUGAGUCUCUUUCUCUGGGCGCACAAAUCCGGGCUCAUGAACUUUACAGUUCGUCCACACGGCCAGGUCCUCGAGUCAUCGUCCAGGUCUCAGCUUAAACCGGAAAGGCUUCCCUGACCACCCAGACCUUCCCACAUCCUUCCAUCCCUCUUACUCACUUCCUCACCGAGAUAUUUCCUAACAAUGGUGCGCCUUCUUUAUCGCUGCUUGCCACACUCGGUGGAAUUCCGAUUCGGUUGUAGGUUUAAGAGCAAGGAUUGCAGAAGACUUAACUUCUCUCCGUUUCCAGCCCUAAAAGCCCAGGCUAAGAAUAAAUGCGGUCCCAUCAUCAGUCAUCACUCCUGGUUCCCCAGGAUUUCUGUCUAUGCUGAGUCCACUUUGAUGGGUCUGGUUUAUUGGACGAUUGCUUAUUUUUUCUUCCUGUGUUUCCAUUUUAUUUCAUGAAAUACACUUUCCAAGAAAGCAACCUGGUAUUUCUGAAAUUUUGUAGUUUGGUGUCACUUAAAAUAAACUUUCAUCUCAUCAGACUAAUUUUACACUUCAACUUAAA